UCCUCUGGCAUUUUGGCCCUAGGUAGCUAGUCUCUCAUCUCUGACCCUAUAUAGCUAGCUAAGACAACUCUUCAUCAAUCAUCAUGCGUCUGCUCCUUCUUCCUUUUUAGCCUUCUUAGCUGUGUGCCUUUGAAUUCCCUCUUCCUUGACUCUACUGUGCAUGUAUGAACCUUCCUUUAAUUCACUGUUACACAAGGUGGGAUAUGUCUUUAUGAUACUUAUUAACCCUCUUCUCUUUUCAUCUCUACUCCCCCUCACUCUAUAUAUUCUACUCUUCUUUUCCUUUCUCUCUUCACCCUCUCUAAAUGGUAUCCACAUACCACGCACCUUCUUCCCUUUUCUUUCUACAUCUAAAUCUUAGGUUUCCCAACCCCUCUCUUCCCUCCUACCCUAUAUAUUUUCUUAUCAACUUAUAGGUUGUGUUUCGACUUAACUUCUUCUCAUUCAUCCCAUUUUUUCUUGUGUCCACUUGCUUUUCUAUGUGCAAGUGUGUGAUCGCUCCUUUUAGGUGCUGGUCUAUAUAUCUUUUUGUGGUUCCAGAAGAGUCUUGUGAUGUUUCUUUUCUUCUUUUAAGUGUUCCUCACAUAUGCACCCGCAGAGAGAGGAAUUUGAAGUUCUCAAAGGAAAAAGUGAAGCUGCCAGCAUGAUCUAGCUUUGGUUAGAGAGCAGACGAGUGCUAACCCUGACUAGGUCAUGCUGUGACAGCCUCACUCCUUCCUGUUUGGGGACCCAGUAGAUUCUUCAACAACAUCUGAAAGACACACAAGGAUUAAAAGCAAAAGGUGAGUGAGUAGAUAGAUAGAGAGUCACCAUGAGAAAAUCACUGUUAGCAUCGUAUAUUCCUUUUUCUUUUUUUUUCUGAGUUUCUGGUCUGGCAGGCGUGCGUUAUUAAAUUUUCCCUUUUUCUUGCUUUGUCUUUUCCUUUUUUUUUUUUUUUUUUUCUCUCUUGCUAUUACUUCUUUCACGCAACUGUUUCACUGUGUCUUGUGGACCUAACUUUUAAUUUCAAGGCCGCAGAUUGCUCCUUAUCUUUACUUAAUUAGGGUUCCUACAACCCAAGGAUCCAUAUUGCUUGUGUCAUUUAAGUCUCCAUUUCAUUGAUUGGGAAUUUCUUUACAUUGCCUUGAAUUUCAAAACCCUAGUUACUGGUUACUUUGAUCUUAAGGUUGGUCUCUAUGAGUGCUAUCUGGUGCUGUAGAGUCAUAGUUUAUGCAGCAUAUGUAUAUAUAUAUAAGUCGUGUACUUGUUGUAUGCUUUGUUGGUUUAAGUUCUCAUUCAUUUAACUGCAUAAAAUGCUGAAAUAUAUAUUCUCUAAGGCGCGCUUCAGUCCCAAAACAGUGAUGCUGAUCCAGAUGAACACUCUUUUUCUCAGGUUCUGAGGAUUCUGGUUACUACAUAUGCUUUGUUUUUAUAAGGUGGGGUUUUACAUUUGUUAUCUUUAACUGCUACCUAUAUCUAUGUAAAACAAAUAGUGUUUCAAAUCUGGUUAAGGUUAAUUCUUGCGUUGAGACGCUAAUCCAGACUCUCUAUGAGAAAUCGUAUACUGAAGACAUUGGUCUGUUGGCGCAAUGAGAAGUAUGAAUGUAUUUUUUGUGUGUAUGCUAUAAACUAUAGAAGUAUCAGAGGAAGUACUUGAGUCUGUCAUGUAUUAUUUUCGUCAUUUUUGUCACAUUGGUCUGAAUCAGAGUAGAUUUGAAAGAGGAAUAAGUUUAUUCAUUUCUAAUGUAGUACUUUUAUAUCAUCCUCUUAUUAUCGGAAAUCGUCAUUUUUUAAUAUCUCAAAUUGGAUAAUACUCGUUCCAGAAGAACCCAUCUGCGCUUUUUGUUGCUUCUGUUCAUAGUAUUCAUUAGAUAUGAAUUUAGGUGGUCUUUAUAAGCAAAUGAUCUAUAUAUAAGAAUACUUAUUGAAUGGAAGCUUUAUAUCAUAACUACGUCUCUUGAAUAUUUCAACAUAAAUUAUAUUCUUAAUUUUGAGAAAGUUUAUUCAAUGUUUAAUCUUUUCUUCUAGUAUAUCGCUGGUUCUAAGUGAUUGUACUCUAACCAUUGUUCUUUUAAUAGGUACAUGCUGUGAUAUGGUGUCCAAUAUGAACUAAUUUGUUAAACAACCAUUCGUUUUCUGACCAAACUAAUUUGAAAAUGAAUUAAGUGAUCAGAAAUUUUGUAUUCGUUUGGCUUCGUUGAAAAAAAGGUAUUUGGUGACCUUUCGUCCUCCGGGCAUGGAUGAUAUAGUUGGAAGGUGUUUAGAGGAUGGAAAAGAAUAAACAUGAUCCCUUUUGAGAUAGAAAAAAUUAGAAGAUGUUCUAAAUGUUGUUGAAGUUUAAGCAAGAUCUAUAUUUACGAUAGUUUUUGGGUGACGAGUUAAGCCUAUAGGACAACUGGGGAAGCUGUUUUCAGUAAAAUACGAUGAGUUGGGAAGAUAUUGGGUUGACGGUGGUGGUGGUGGGAUUUUACAACAUGACGACACGGUGUUGCUGACAAGGUAUUUUCUAGGGCACGAUGGAAUAAUGUGAAUUUUCAGAGUUAAGGUGGUAAGUUGAGUCACGUGAACAUUUAGGAUUGAUGAGAAUGGGUGGCCUAUAACUUUUUGUCUUAUUCUUCUAUUUCUUGUCAUAUUUGUCUAGGCACACCUUGUUCACUCAGUCAACAUCCUUUCUACAACCAAAAUCUUUUGUUUAUCCAAAAGAAAAAAAAAAAAGAGGUUUGAAAUGUAUUGCAGUAAUUUUGAUGGUAGUACGUAGAACGUGCAGGGAAGUGCAGGGAACUGAUGGAAGGCGUAGGGAACAUGAACACGAUGACAAGUUUGUGAUUAAAAAGCUCCAUCAAAUUGCACCCUCCAUGCAAACUUUAUGAUGAGUUAAAGUUGUUUGACAAGUCUCAGAUAAAUAUAGGUUAGGAUUUUCUAUUUAUCCUGCAUCACGAUUGUGGAUCCUAUGUAAUCGAUGUCAAAUUUUUACAAUAAUAAGUUUAAUUGUCAAUUGUGAUGUGGUUUAUGUAAAACUAUUUUAGAUUAAUAAAUAAAUUAUAUUUUGCUAUUUUA